AACAACACAGAGUUGGUGCAGAGCUACCGGCAGCAGAUUGGGAACGUGGUGAACCAGGCCAACCUGCAGCUCUUCUGGAACAUGUACAACAGCCGCAGAGACCUGGACAUUAACCGGCCUGGAACAGUGCCCAAUGCCAAGACGCUCCGGUGAGUGGCCCCUGGCCCUCUGGCCUGCCCCCGCCUUUGCCCCCAUGACCCAGCCAGACAGCCCUUUUCCUCUGUAUCUGCAGCUGCCCCGUGAUGCUGGUGGUUGGGGAUAAUGCACCUGCUGAGGACGGGGUGGUGGAGUGCAACUCCAAACUGGACCCGACCACUACGACCUUCCUGAAGAUGGCAGACUCUGGAGGGCUGCCCCAGGUCACACAGCCAGGGAAGCUGACUGAAGCCUUCAAAUACUUCCUGCAAGGCAUGGGCUACAUGCCCUCGGCCAGCAUGACCCGCCUGGCACGCUCCCGCACUGCAUCCCUCACCAGUGCCAGCUCGGUGGAUGGCAGCCGCCCACAGGCCUGCACCCACUCGGAGAGCAGCGAGGGGCUGGGCCAGGUCAACCACACC
rnacentral:sRNA from 1 species